UAAAACCUCUUGAAUGUCAUUCAGGAUCAUGUCCUGGAUAUCAUUUGUCAAGAUCAAAACCAUUGAAGGUUGUACCUCUUAUUUUCAUUUUUACGUAAAAAUGAAAAUAAGAGGUACAACCUUCAAUGGUUUUGAUCUUGACAAAUGUUAUGUUCAAGACAUAAUACUGAACAAUAUUCAAUAGGUUUUA
rnacentral:pre_miRNA from 1 species